rnacentral:lncRNA from 1 species
ACGUUUUGUUUUACAAACUUAGGGAACAUCCUGGAGUUGACUCCUGUCCCGGAGAUGGCGUUCUGCGGCAUCUAAGCGUCACAGACGGAAUAUAACCCAUUAGAAAUGUGGUUGUUGGCACCCCUGCUACUGACUUGGAGGUUGGCAGUAAGGCACCAUUUCCCUAAUACUCUCUUCUCUCGUUUUCUUGCAGUAAAUGAGAUCAUUCGUAACGACCUCUCCAGCACAAUCCCCCACUCCUAAUUCAGCACAUUGGAGCUGGCAGAAGCCGUGAGGAGCUGGCUCAGUGCAGACAACCACGCUUCAGCAAGCGAGACUUUGAUGAGAUAAACUGGACCCACAUCUGGUACCACUCAGAAAAUCCCAACUUACCGAACGAAUGCGGGGAGCUUGUGUCUGAAGAAACAGCUCUCCAAAACGACGGAGGAGCAGGAGAGGGGCCCACUGCACCUCUAGAAAGAAACACCAUUUCAAGGAAAGAGAAGGGCUGGCCAGUGAGGCCAGGGGCAGACACUGGCCCACUGUGUGGCAGAAUGACCCCAAACCUGACCCUCCUGCCCACUGGAUUAAAACACUGGAAGUGCCUUAUUUAGUCCAACCACCACACCAGGGCAUAUGGAAGUGUGCACUGAAUUUCCUACCACGAGAGUAUUCGUAGGAGCCAAAGCUAUUAAAGAACACUUCCUUGGGAGGCUCUCUCCUUUGUACUAAUCGAUUGGAUUCUGACGAGCUGUGGCCUCCCGCUUAUCUCUAACUUUUCUGGCUGUCCCACACAAUUCGCCUGCGUUAUCCAGUGCGCUCUAGAGGCCAUCCAGCCUGCCACCUUGGCACCUCUUUCAUAGUCAGCCCCCUCCUCUGUGUGACUGAAACCACAGGUUUGUCUGUAAUAGCAUGCUGGGGUUCUUGUUCUUGAUCCAGCUGCACUAUAGUGAAGGAAGUUGAACAGCCCAAGACAGGGUCCCGGACAGAACAAAGCCUGCCUGCCUGCGCUACAGGACAGAGCCUGUGUUUGCAUGCAUGUACAUAUAGGCAUAUAUUUAUGUAUAGAUGUCCAAGGACGGGGAUGGUGAUGGCCAGUCUGUGCCCAGCGGGGACUUCCGUGUUAGCAAUAACCAGUAUCCACCUUGAGAGUGCACCUCGGAGUCCAGACCCUGCCUUCCAUCACCUUCCACCAGGGUCCGUCACCUCUGGCAGGCAGGUGGCCUUUUCUUGUCUCGUGCAGUUACGGAGCACUCUAGAGCUGUGCCCAGAUGCCCAUCGGCUCCCAAAGGGCAGCAUCCGAAAGUGGUUAUGAGUAAGGAGUGUAAUAUAUCUGUCCGAUUAUGAGAUGAUUACUUCACAGCAGCCUUAUAGCUCUCUGCUUCAUCUAAGGAAACAAUUACCAAAAACGGUGUUUCUAUACGCGGUCUGUGGAUUGUGCGUUUUCAGAUUAGCUACUGGUAACGGACAGGCUGGUGUCGGCUUCGUGUAAUCAGCUGCUUAUUACAGUUAACUAGCAGUGACCUAUUAUUUCUUAUAACCAAAAUAAAAAAAAAAAAAAAAGCAUGGUUUAAUUAAAACAUGUUUAAUGAUGGUGCCUUAGGAGUUAAUGCCCCCUUAUGGAACAAGCCUGAAUUGCACCUGUGGGUGGAAGCCUCAAGUUACUCACAGACAGACGGGGGGGACUCAACGACAGGAAAAGCUCUCCCCGCAGGAAGACGCAUCUUCAAAAUGUCCGUCUGUACGAUGGUGGCUUACCUUUUCCAACUCACCAAAACAGACAAAUGUCCGAAAGCCAUAUCGAACGUUUUCACACGAUUGUGAAGAGCUGAGGCGUGCCUGCCUCGCGCGCACACACAGAACCUGGCCGCCUGCAGGCUGCCUCCCACCUGCCUGCUUCUUGUAUGUACCCCGUGUUUAUAAGCAUCAUGGAGUUGCAUGAACCAUCCUUAGUAGACUGUCAUGUGAAAGCAAGCGUUUGACAUUUGUGUCAGCUAUCUUCAUAGUUAGGGAAUGGAGCUAAUAAAACAGUAUUUUUUCUUUCU